rnacentral:rRNA from 1 species
CGCCCAUUAAAGUGGUACGCGAGCUGGGUUCAGAACGUCGUGAGACAGUUCGGUCCCUAUCCGUCGCAGGCGUAGGAAAUUUGAGGAGACCUGUCCUUAGUACGAGAGGACCGGGAUGGACGUACCUCUGGUGUACCAGUUGUUCUGCCAAGGGCAUGGCUGGGUAGCUAUGUACGGAAUGGAUAAGCGCUGAAAGCAUC